rnacentral:rRNA from 1 species
GACGGGGGAUGCAAGCGUUAUACGGAAUCACUGGGCGUAAAGCGUCUGUAGGUGGUGAUGCACGUCAGUGGUGCAAAACUCUGGCUCAACCGGAGGAAAGCCAGGGAAACUGCAUGACUAGAGUGUGGGAGAGGUAGUAGGAAUUCCCUGAGUAGCUGUGAAAUGCGUAGAUAUCGGGAAGAACACCGGAGGCGAAAGCGUUCUACUGGAACACAACUGACACUGAGAGGCGAAAGCUAGGGGAGCGAAUGGG